AGAGUUUGAUCCUGGCUCAGGAUGAACGUUGGUAGCAUGCCUAACACAUGCAAGUCGAGCGGAAAGUAGUAAUACUUUUAGCGGCGAACGGGUGAGUAAUACUUAUCUCACCUACCAUUUAGUAGGGGAUAACCAAAGGAAGCUUUGGCUAAUACCGCAUAUUCUGGUUUCGACCAGGAAAGGACUUCGGUUCGCUAAAUGAUGGGGAUAAGGCGUAUUAGCUUGUUGGUGGGGUAAAGGCCUACCAAGGCCAAGAUGCGUAGCCAAACUGAGAGGUUGAAUGGCCACAGGGAAACUGAGACACGGUUCCCACUCCUACGGGAGGCAGCAGUGAGGAAUAUUCCGCAAUGGGCGAAAGCCUGACGGAGCGAUGCUACGUGAAGGAUGAAGGUCUACGGAUUGUAAACUUCUUUACUUGGAUGUACUCCUUAAAGCUUGCAUCUGAGCAAAAAGUCACGACUAACUAUGUGCCAGCAGUCGCGGUAAGACAUAGGUGGCGAACGUUAUCCGGAAUUAUUGGGCGUAAAGGAUGCGUAGAUGGUAGAAUAAGUUAUUGGUCGAUGCCAAACUCAAUUUGACGGAAGCUGGUAAUACUGUUCUACUCGAGGGCAGGAGAGGUUGAUGGAAUUCUGUGUGGAGCGGUGAAAUGCGUUGAUCUACAGAGGAACACCAAAAGAGGCGAAGGCAGUCAACUAUUCUGUUCCUGACAUUGAGGCAUGAAAGCGUGGGGAGCAAACCGGAUUAGAUACCCGGGUAGUCCACGCCCUAAACGAUGAGCAUUAGAUAUUGAGCAUUUUGCUUAGUGUCGCAGCUAACGCUUUAAAUGCUCCGCCUGGGUACUACGGUCGCAAGGCUAAAACUCAAAGGAAUUGACGGGGACCCGCACAAGCGGUGGAGCAUGUGGUUUAAUUCGAUACAACGCGCAGAACCUUACCAAGGUUUGACAUGGAGGGCAAAGUUGAAGAAACUCAACGGAGGUUAUCCCGACACAGGUGGUGCAUGGUCGUCGUCAGUUCGUGCUGUGAAGCGUACGCUUAAGUGCUAGAACGAACGCAACCCUCAUAUUUAGUUGCUAUCAUUUAGUUGAGAACUCUAAAUAGACUGCUAAGAUAACUUAGAGGAAGGAGAGGAUGACGUCUGAUCAUCAUGCCCCUUAUACCUUGGGCUACACACGUGCUACAAUGGUUAGGACAAAGGGUCGCCAACCCGCAAGGGGGAGCCAAUCCCAAAAAACUAACCUUAGUUCGGAUUGGAGUCUGCAACUCGACUCCAUGAAGUCGGAAUCGCUAGUAAUCGUGAAUCAGCAAUGUCACGGUGAAUAUGUUCUCGGGUCUUGUACACACCGCCCGUCAAAUCACGAAAGUCGGUAAUGCCUGAAACCAGCUCCCACAAGGGAAACCUCCGCAAGGGGGAGAAGGCUGACAAGGGUAGGAUUGGCGAUUGGGAUUAAGUCGUAACAAGGUAGCCGUAG
rnacentral:rRNA from 1 species